rnacentral:rRNA from 1 species
GUGCCUAAUACAUGCAAGUAGAACGUGAAGGAGGAGCUUGCUUCUCCGGAUGAGUUGCGAACGGGUGAGUAACGCGUAGGUAACCUGCCUGGUAGCGGGGGAUAACCUAUUGGAAACGAUAGCUAAUACCGCAUAAUAGCAGUUAUUGCAUGAUAACUGUUUGAAAGGUGCAAUGCACCACUACCAGAUGGACCUGCGUUGUAUUAGCUAGUUGGUGGGGUAAAGGCUCACCAAGGCGAGAUACAUAGCCGACCUGAGAGGGUGAUCGGCCACACUGGGACUGAGACACGGCCCAGACUCCUACGGGAGGCAGCAGUAGGGAAUUUCGGCAAUGGACGGAAGUCUGACCGAGCAACGCCGCGUGAGUGAAGAAGGUUUUCGGAUUCGUAAAGCUUCUGUUGUAAAGAGAAGAAACGAAG